AUAAAGGCAAAAAGGUGGUUGUUAUUUUUCAGUUUGGGUUUGCAAUAACAGUUUCUCAACAUUUCACCAAAGGAAGUGUUUUAAUGCUACUGGCUGAGUCUGAUGACCACAGAACUGUGAAAACAUACUGGCUGACUCAGAGCAGCUCUGUCCGGUUUAACUUGAAUAUACUAUUCACAUCUUCAUAACGAAGCUAAUUUUGGGGGUCCUCCUCAUAUUUGAAAGUCUAUGAGGCAAAUUAAUAAGAGAGAAUUCACAUUUGUAUGGACUUUUUAAGAAAUCGUUGAAGAUGGAGACUAUUGAGACGGCUGCCAGAAAAUCUUUCAUUGUGAUGAUUAACAUGAUUGCAUGGAUGAUUUUAAUAACAGCUACUGGAUUAGGUAAAGAGCAGUUUUUGUUUACAGUAUCAAAUAUUGAGAUGAUACGUGUAAUCACAAUCUGGAGCACUAUAAAUGCUUUUAACAAUAAUUGUAUGUCAGGUAACAACAACAAGAAGAUGAGAAGCUUUCUCACACCACUGGAAGUCUGCUUUUUACUCUGUCAUAUGGCUGUUUGGAUAAAUGUUUCCAGGAGUGAUCCAUUUUCAUGAGUGCCCUGUCCAGCCAAACCUCCCCAUCUAUGUGACUGUGAUUGGAGUGACUGGUCUGCUUUCACUGUUGGUCAUGUACCUGAGGAACACUUUGGACGACUGUCUGCUGGCUCGGUUCUGCAGUGCUUUCAGCUUUACGCUCUACCUAUUCAUUGUGUGCUGGUUCAUUGCUGGUACCUACUGGAUUUACUCCAUAUAUCCUCCCAACUAUGUUCCCACCAGCACUGGAGACCACUGUCACAAACCCCUGUAUCUGUUUGCAUUUUGGAUUAACAAUCUAGGCUUUCUUUGUGUGUUCAUACUGUCUCUUUUUGCUUUGUAUACCACUUUGACACGUAGGUCUAUAUUGUUCACCAAUAGAACCCUAUAUGUUCAAAUUUAGCUGCAGACCUGUAGAUAACUUCCAGUAAUGCUCUGAAAAUGUGCUGUAUU